rnacentral:sRNA from 1 species
AAGGAAGGAAAGUGAAUAUAAUUGCUUCUAGAACUAACUCAAACAAAAAAUUGACCAGAAUUUCAUACAAUAACACAACACACAAGUAACUUCCGCCAAACCUUAAUGAAUCUUUGCUUCCUUACUCUCGGAUUUGUCGUUUCGAUUGAGGGUAUGAUUUGAAAAAAUAAGAAGAGAUUGUGGAUGAGGUUUGAAGAAAAAAAGAGAUUUAGGCUGCAGAAAAAUUUAACGGCGGAACAAGAGGACGAAGUAAAAUAAUGUCGAGUUUUAUUUUCUAUCCAAAAAGUAUUAUUUAAAAAAAA